rnacentral:rRNA from 1 species
GAGUUUGAUCAUGGCUCAGGACGAACGCUGGCGGCGUGCCUAAUACAUGCAAGUAGAACGCUGAAGAGAGGAGCUUGCUCUUCUUGGAUGAGUUGCGAACGGGUGAGUAACGCGUAGGUAACCUGCCUUGUAGCGGGGGAUAACUAUUGGAAACGAUAGCUAAUACCGCAUAACAAUAGGUGACACAUGUCAUUUAUUUGAAAGGGGCAAUUGCUCCACUACAAGAUGGACCUGCGUUGUAUUAGCUAGUAGGUGAGGUAACGGCUCACCUAGGCGACGAUACAUAGCCGACCUGAGAGGGUGAUCGGCCACACUGGGACUGAGACACGGCCCAGACUCCUACGGGAGGCAGCAGUAGGGAAUCUUCGGCAAUGGGGGCAACCCUGACCGAGCAACGCCGCGUGAGUGAAGAAGGUUUUCGGAUCGUAAAGCUCUGUUGUAAGUCAAGAACGAGUGUGAGAGUGGAAAGUUCACACUGUGACGGUAGCUUACCAGAAAGGGACGGCUAACUACGUGCCAGCAGCCGCGGUAAUACGUAGGUCCCGAGCGUUGUCCGGAUUUAUUGGGCGUAAAGCGAGCGCAGGCGGUUUGAUAAGUCUGAAGUUAAAGGCUGUGGCUCAACCAUAGUUCGCUUUGGAAACUGUCAAACUUGAGUGCAGAAGGGGAGAGUGGAAUUCCAUGUGUAGCGGUGAAAUGCGUAGAUAUAUGGAGGAACACCGGUGGCGAAAGUGGCUCUCUGGUCUGUAACUGACGCUGAGGCUCGAAAGCGUGGGGAGCGAACAGGAUUAGAUACCCUGGUAGUCCACGCCGUAAACGAUGAGUGCUAGGUGUUGGAUCCUUUCCGGGAUUCAGUGCCGCAGCUAACGCAUUAAGCACUCCGCCUGGGGAGUACGACCGCAAGGUUGAAACUCAAAGGAAUUGACGGGGGCCCGCACAAGCGGUGGAGCAUGUGGUUUAAUUCGAAGCAACGCGAAGAACCUUACCAGGUCUUGACAUCCCGAUGCUAUUUCUAGAGAUAGAAAGUUACUUCGGUACAUCGGUGACAGGUGGUGCAUGGUUGUCGUCAGCUCGUGUCGUGAGAUGUUGGGUUAAGUCCCGCAACGAGCGCAACCCCUAUUGUUAGUUGCCAUCAUUCAGUUGGGCACUCUAGCGAGACUGCCGGUAAUAAACCGGAGGAAGGUGGGGAUGACGUCAAAUCAUCAUGCCCCUUAUGACCUGGGCUACACACGUGCUACAAUGGUUGGUACAACGAGUUGCGAGUCGGUGACGGCAAGCUAAUCUCUUAAAGCCAAUCUCAGUUCGGAUUGUAGGCUGCAACUCGCCUACAUGAAGUCGGAAUCGCUAGUAAUCGCGGAUCAGCACGCCGCGGUGAAUACGUUCCCGGGCCUUGCACACACCGCCCGUC